GAUGAAGAACGUAGCGAAAUGCGAUACUUGGUGUGAAUUGCAGAAUCCCGUGAACCAUCGAGUCUUUGAACGCAAGUUGCGCCCGAAGCCGUCAGGCCGAGGGCACGCCUGCCUGGGCGUCACACGCCGUUGCCCCCCCGCGCCCCGCACCCAACGCUUUGGGAGCGACCGCGGGGCGGGCUGAUGAUGGCCUCCCGUGCGCUCCGCCGCGCGGUUGGCCCAAAUACCGAGUCCCCGGCGACGUGCGCCACGACGAUCGGUGGUUGAGAGACCUCUGUCGCAAGUCGUGCGCGCCCGUCGCGUCACGCGGGCUCGCAUAGCGCCUCGCGCCGCACCCGGUGCGGAGCUUUCAACGCGACCCCAGGUCAGGCGGGGUUACCCGCUGAACUUAAGCAUAUCAAUAAGCGGAGGA
rnacentral:misc_RNA from 1 species